rnacentral:rRNA from 1 species
GGAGAGUUUGAGCGUGGCGCGGGGUUGAAAGGAGGGGGUCUAGCGUGGCUGGGAAGGAAUGGGGGUACAGGGGGCGUUGGGGGUUUGUACAGUCAGGCGUGAAAGUCCUGUGCUCAAGCUGGGGGCUGCGGUUGAUACGUAGGGACUGGAGUUCGGAAGAGGGUCGUGGAAUUCCCAGUGUAGGGGUGAAAUUCGUAGAUAUUGGGAAGAACACCGGUGGCGAAGGCGGCGACCUGGUCCUGGACUGACGCUGAGGCGCGAAAGCGUGGGGAGCAAACAGGAUUAGAUACCCGAGUAGUC